GCGGGCUUGGCAUAUCGGCCUUGUGCAAUAGCCUUCCAGGCUGUCCAUGCGGGCUGCACACUGCAAUGGUUUGACUCCCGCAGCCCGCUCCA
rnacentral:tRNA from 1 species